rnacentral:sRNA from 1 species
GGGCUAUGGUUCGCUCUAUACCCUUUGUGACAUACCUAUAACUGUUGCUUCGGCGGGUAGGGUCUCCGCGACCCUCCCGGCCUCCCGCCUCCGGGCGGGUCGGCGCCCGCCGGAGGAUAACCAAACUCUGAUUUAACGACGUUUCUUCUGAGUGGUACAAGCAAAUAAUCAAAACUUUUAACAACGGAUCUCUUGGUUCUGGCAUCGAUGAAGAACGCAGCGAAAUGCGAUAAGUAAUGUGAAUUGCAGAAUUCAGUGAAUCAUCGAAUCUUUGAACGCACAUUGCGCCCGCCAGCAUUCUGGCGGGCAUGCCUGUUCGAGCGUCAUUUCAACCCUCAAGCUCUGCUUGGUGUUGGGGCCCUACAGCUGAUGUAGGCCCUCAAAGGUAGUGGCGGACCCUCCCGGAGCCUCCUUUGCGUAGUAACUUUACGUCUCGCACUGGGAUCCGGAGGGACUCUUGCCGUAAAACCCCCCAAUUUUCCAAAGGUUGACCUCGGAUCAGGUAGGAAUACCCGCUGAACUUAAGCAUAUCAUAG